GGUUGCUGUUGUUUAUUACUAAAGUUCAUUACAAGCUUUGGUCUCCAACAUCAUUACAAGCUUUGGUCUACAACUUUACUAAAUUCACUGUUCAUUGCUAUUUUAUUUAAAAUUUUAAUUUCCCUGUAGCCCGCGUGCAGGCUAUGGCGUUCCAUCCCGGUCAAAAUUAUUUCAAGUCAAUAAGUAAUAUUCAAACAUCAUAUAAACAUGUAAUAACUUUCAAUAUAAUGUUGAAAAUAUCAAGAUGAAGUUCAAACUCAAAAAAAUAAAACGAAAGUUUAAAGCAUAUACUUGAAAAAUGCAAAAUACAUUUCAAAUCUCAAAGGAUAUAUAUGAAAAUUAAACGCAAGUCCAAACUUCUAUUUAUAAAGCGAAACUCCCAAAUGAUAAGUCAAAGCCGCGGCUCAUAAAAAUAAAUCGAAAAGUCAAAAAUACAAAUCGAAAGGAAACGGAAGUAAGAACUAAAAUACAGAGGAAGUCAGGAAACGGAAGUUAACCACAAACAUUGCUGAUUCAGCCGAAUAUCUUUCUCG